rnacentral:lncRNA from 1 species
CUAUCCAAAAUAAAAUUAAUGCAGAAAGCAAUGAAAAAGGAAAAGAAAAGAAGCUUAAGGGAGACGAUUGGUGCUAGUUCUCACAUCCAAUGGAGUUACCAUCGAGCUCUAAACUUUUCCUUCUCUUCUUCUGUUCCUAGUUAUGAAAAAUUCUUGUGACCUUGGUCCUGAAAGUUCCUGUUAUCUUGGUUCUGAUCUUAGAUUUUAUCCUGAAGUUCUGUAAAUUUCAGUCUUCGUGUGAUCCUAUGGGAUUUUCAGAAUUCGUUUGAUCCUUAAGUUCUGUAAAUUUUAGUCGUCUUCUAAUCUUGGAGUUCUGUAUAUUCCUGGAGUCCUAUAAAUUUCAGGAUGAAGCUACAGCAACAGAGGCGGUGACAUAAGACUUGACUGAAUACACACAUACACAAGAGAUCAGCAUUUUUUUUAUUCAAAUAGGCCCCGUGGCAAUGUGAAUGAAUGUCACCCCAUCGGUCAAACAUUUUUGCGUACUUCAACAAAAUUCUAAAUUUCAAGCUCCUCUUUCUAUAAAUCCCUUUCUUUUAAAAAGAGAUUUUUGAAUUCAUAACCGAAUUUCACAUUUUUGUUUUGGGAUUUACAUCCUUUUGAACAAAGGCCAAGAAAGUAUGUUGCUUUUUCAUUAGGUUCACAGACUCCACUUGUUUUAAAAUUAUUGCUGUCCAUCUUCUUUUUAUUCCUUUGCAAAGACUCCAAAUAUUUCCAAAUUGCUUCUUUUUAUUGCCUUGCACCAUAAUUCCCACAAAAUGUUAAAGAAAGCUAAUAAAGAAUUAUUAUAUAGGAAAAAAAGUUGAAUAAAAUAUUGAGGAAAACAAAAAUAAAAACAUUUCAAACUCAACACUUAUCAAUCCCUAAUUUAUAAGUCUAUUAUUAUAAUAAAAUUACACACUUGAAUUUUGACUCUAACUGUCUCCUCAUUUUUGUUUUUAUCUAUAAUUUUUGAACACCAAAUAUAUUACUAUAUAAAAUAUAUGUUUCAUUAUAUCUUUACUACAAUAUUAUUAAGCCACUGUUCAAUGAAUCAAAAUCAACAAUUAAUUUUAAUCACAUAUUUUAUGAGAUCCACAACUUUUCAAUCACACAUUUUACCAGUUUUUAUCAAAAUUUACUAAAAUUUUGAUUUUAAUUCACACCAAAAGCUAAAUAUAUAUUUAUAGUAUGUAUUGUAUUUACCUCAAAGCCCCAAAAUUGAAGGGUAAUUUUACAUUUAUGAAAUUCAAGACAAAAUUCGAGAGAGAGAAAAAAUCCCAAACGUCAUAUUAGUUGGUCAUUCCACCCCAUUGUCAUCUCCCAAGAUAAUGUUAAAUGCAAGCUCUUAAAAUAGCAGAUAUAUACAUUUAUACAAACAAGACUAAUUAAAGACAAUGAGAUAUGAGUAGUAAAUGAAUAGGAAAUAAUCAGACAGAAAUUUCAAACCAAUAAAAAUGUACUGCCAACAAGAACAUCUGCCUAGUACAAGUGUCACACUAGAAGCAGUCUUGUUACAAGAUGGAUGAAGUUCUAGAAAUGGCUCUUUUCCCCAUUCAAGAACUUGCACGAUCAGUAAAGAUGAUAGUUAUAAAAUAAAGCACAGGACAGAAAAAAAGACGUUCCAUUCCGUAACGAUUUACAUAAUAGUUUACGUACACGUGACUUAAUAAGAUAUGAUUAGAUCAUAAUUUCUUCAACCAAAAAAAAAAAAAAAAAAAAAAAAAUUUCUUCACUCUAUUUUUUAUACCUCGUCUAUAUAUAAAUUAUUAUAUAACUCCAUUAUAUACAAAUAACAUUAUUCAUGAAAAACAAUCUCAAAACACCUCGAUUCUAAAUCACAAUUCAGCAUGACUUCCAAAACAAAACAAAAUUAAAACUGAAACCAAAUCACAGUAGUUGGCUCUGACCAUGAUAUUUGGAAUGCAACUAUAAACAUACACUUCAAUAUGCAAUAUCACAUCAAGUCUAGAAGCUACUCAACCCUUGUUUGAGCCCCAUUUUGGAGAAAAAAAAUGAAUUUUUGAAUAGUGUAUUGAUAAGAAAUGUGCGGUUAAAAAAUAAGAAAAAAUUUUGAAUUUGCGUGUAAUAUUAUUUUUAUUGAAAAAUAUGUAAUUGAAAUGAUGUCAAAACACUCUUGAAAAAUUCAUUUUCUUCAAAGAAUGGGGCUCAAACAAGAAGAAAUUCAACAGGUCAUAUUUAAAUUGUGGUAUAGCACACUAUUUGACCCUUUUGGAAUUGCUUCGCUGUAACAAGUGCAGAUCCUACAUGCAAUUCACAUAUACACAUAAUAUUAAUGUUAUUAGGCAUGGUAGAUCACAUGUAUAGCUGCGACAAAUUAUGACAAAAACUUUCAAGGAAAAAGAAAAUUUACCACAAGGUUCUAUUUAUUUGGUCCAAAUUUGAUUAAGCUUUCAACACAAACAAGUAAGAGAAAAAAUCCCAAGAACAGAACAAACAGGAGAACAUAGAAUUCCUCUUCAUGAGGUGCCUGAAAAGACUUGCACAGACCUUUCAAAGAUGUUCAAUGGGCACGACCAGAUACGAAACUGGAAAACACAUGCAGACACCAACUCAGCACUGUAUAAGUAGUGAAAGUUGAAUCAAACAAUUCUUACCUGCUAGGCACAAUUUGCUUACCAAAAGAAAUUCGUUAAGAGUUGACUGCUCUACCAUUUCCCCAUCCCAAUGCAACUCGAAGAAAAUAAUCCUCACAGCCAAUAAAGUAUUUGCUUAAAGUACAGUAACCAAUUGAAAUUUAUGUGGAAGUUCAGUGACCACGAAUGAGAUUUAUACUUUCUCCAAUACUAUGCACGCACAGUAAUGCAAAGAAAACAGAUAUGGACACUGUUGGAAGAAAGAGGGGUUUACUAACUUGGACUGGUUAAGACUUCUAAAGAGGACAACACUAAUAGGAAGAAGGAAGUGAAUAAAAGGAAACUUGUAUUUCUCAAGGCUUGUUACAAAAUGGAGGACCCUACCAUUUUAUGUAGUGUUUACAUGGAACUUCUAGUUCAUACAAUUUUCUAGAGACUCCUAGACCACAUAUUUACAUGAGAUUUUAGACCACACAUUUGGACAAAAUAUUUUCCUAGAAUACUCUAAAUAGAUUUUAUAAGACCACAUAAUUUUCUUGACGCAUCACCACAUAUUUCACUUAAAUAUUUAUAUAGAUUUUUCUAGACAAUGUUUCUAGAAAUGCUAGGCAUAUUUGACUUUUUGAUUAAUUUGGGCCUAUGAGCAAAAUCCUUGAACUCAUAUUAUUUAGUCCACAAAUCAAGUUUACUACUCAACAUCCCCCCUUGAACUUAAUUUUGCUAUUCCAAGUAGAGUUCUUAACUUGUGGAACACGUCAUACUUGAGUGGCUUAGUGAGAAUGUCGACGAUCAGCUCCUAAGAGGUUACAUAUUUCAGCUAUACUUCUUUCUUUGCAAUGCUUUCUCUUAUGAAGUGAGAUCUUGUAUCAAUGUACUUGCUUUUAUCGUGGAACACUGGGUUCUUUGCCAAUGCCGAUUUAUUAUCAACAUGAAUUUCAUUCGAUUCUUCUUGUGAGACUCCAAGUGUCUUCAACAAAUUUUUAAGCCAAAUUGCAUGACAAACCCUUAAUGUAGUUGCUACAUAUUCAGCUUCAUAUGUAGAUAGCACUACAAUCGAUUACUUCUUCAAGCUUCAAGUGAAAGCUGUGUCGCCCAAGUAAAACACAUACCCAGUCGUAAUCUUUCUAUCAUCAUUGUCUCCACCCCAAUCAUUGUCACUAUAUCCAACAAAUUUGAAUUCAUCAUAUGAUUAAUAGAUUAAGCCAUAAUCAAACGUACCUUUGAUGUAACGAAGAAUCCUCUUUGCAGCUUUCAUAUGGGUCAUGGUAGGUGACUCCAUAUAGUGACUGAUGAGCCUAACUCCAAAAAGAAUAUCUGAUCUUGUGCACAUCAAGUAUCUUAGACUUUCAACCAUACUUUAAAAGUGUGGGUUUACUUUUUCACAUUCAUCAUUUUUCGAAAACUUGGUUCCAUAUUCAACCGGGAUGCAUACAGGCUUACAAUCCCUUAUAAUGAAUUUCUUUUGCAUACUUUGCUUGUAAGAUAAAGAUACGAUCCUCCAUUUGCUUUACCUCAAUCUCAAGAUAGUAAUCCAUGAGGCCGAUAUCCAUCAUCUCGAAUUCUUGAGCUUGGCCUUUUUAAACUCAUUGAUCAUACUUUGAUUAUUUCCUAUGACUAUAAGAUCAUCUACAUACAAACAAACAAACAAAAUAUCUCCUUUCUCAUUUACUUUUGUGUAAAGAGCAUACUCGUAAGGGUAUUCCAUGAAGUCAUUUUCUUGAAUGUACUUGUCAAUUCUACUAUUCCAUGCCCUUGGAGUUUGUUUCAAUCCAUAUAAAGCCAUUUUUAGUUUUAAGACUUUUCCUUCAUGUCUUUUUAUUUUAUGGUCAAUUGGUUGCUCCACAUAAAUUUCUUCUUCGAGAUAACCAUUUCGAAAAGCUCGUUUCACAUCCCUUUGAAAUAUUUUCCACUUAUUUUGCGCUGAAAGAGAGAAUUAAUUUUAUGGUUUCUAAACAAGCAAUAGGUGCAGGAGCAAAUACCUCUUCAUAAUCGAUUCCUGACCGUUGAUUGUAUCCUUUAGCAACCAAUCUUGAUUUAUAUCUCUCCACUUCUCCUUUAGCAUUUUUCUUUGCCUUGUACACUCACUUAACUCCAAUUGCUCUCUUUCCUUUGGGAAGAGUCAUCACCACCCACGUGUCAUUUUCUCAAUAGCCUUAACUUCUUCAUCCAUGGAAUCUCUCCAUCUUUUAUUUUACUCCGCUUCUUCAUACCCUAUUGGCUCACAAUCGACAAAAAGAUAAACGAAUAAGAUCAUUUUGAUUUUCUGUUACCUCAUAUAACUCUUGUAGACUCCUCAUUCGUGGUGUUCUUUUGCUUGAGCUUUCUCCUUUCGAAGAUGAUGAUGAAGCACCUCCAUGAGUAGGUGAUGGAGGUAGACUUAUAAGCUCUUAUUGCUCUCCAUUCUCUUGUUUUUUUUCCUCAAAAAAAGGCAAGAAGUCAUAGUCUUUUUCUUGGAUAUCCUAAUCCCAAGCUCCUUCUUCAUCAAACUCGACAUCUAUACCUAUGUUGAUCUUUUCCUUGCUUGGAUUAUACAACUUAUAGCCUUUAGAGCGAGAGUCAUAGCCAAUAAAAACAUACUUGUCACUUUUGUCAUCUAACUUGAACCGCCUUUGAUCUCAUACAUGACCAUAUGCAAUGCUCCCAAAUACUCGUAGGUGAGAGAUGCUAAGCUUUCUUUCACUCCAUGCUUCUUGAGGUAUCUUAUUCUACAUACUUCUAGAAGGCAAUUGAUUAGACAGAUACAUGGCUUAAUUAACAGCUACGGCCCAAAGUUCUUUGGGCAAUCUCUUACUUUUGAACAUGCAGCGAACCAUGAUAAGAAUUAAUCUAUUCUUUCUUUCGGCUACUCCAUUUUGUUGUGCAGAGUAUGGAACCAUUAAUGAGCGACGAAUUCCAUUCUCUUCACAAUAUUUCUCAAACUCUUUGGAGGUGAAUUCUCCUCUUCUAUCCAAUCUCAUGGCUUUUAUGCUAUAACCACUUUAUUUUUCAACAAGAGUUUUAAAACUUUUGAAAGUUCUAAAAACUUUCAAUUUUUUUUUUUGAGAAAAUGGACCCAAAACUUUCUACUAAAAUCAUCAAUAAAAAGAACAAAGUAAUUGUCUUACCAAGAGAGGUUGAAUUGAUUGAACUACAAACAUCCAAGUAUACAACUUCUAGCGGCUUCUUAACUCUUGUUGAUACUUAUUCUGGAAAACUUUUUUCCUCGAAUGCUUUCCAAGUAAGAAUCCUUCACAUAAUUGAUCCGCAUGAUAUAUUAAUGGCAAACUCUUCACCAUCUUCUUAUUACUCAACAAUUUUAAACCUCCAAAAUUAAGAUGCCCAAAUCUCAAGUGCCAAAGCCAAAAUGAAUCUUUAAAACAAGCUUUUAUGCAUUUAGCAACAUCAUUUUGAUUAAUGCUUAACGCAAACAUUCUAUUUUUUGUCAUAUGGACUUUGACAAUCGAAUUUUCUCUUUGAUCUCUUAUUAAAGACUAUGAUCUUUCAAAUGAAUACCAUAGUCUUUCUCUAAGAGUUGUCCCAAACUUAAUAUGUUAUUCAUAUUGGGCACACAAUAGACAUUUGAGAUAAAUUGAUACGUACCAUUCUUUAAGCGAAUCAAAAUUUACCUUUUCCUUUUACUGGGAUCUUGGAUCUAUCUCCAAAGGCAAUGCUGACGCUUACUGAUUCAUCAAGCUCUAUGAACAUGUUUUUUCUUUCACACAUAUGGUUGCUUACUCCUGUAUACAAAUAUCAAGUGUUUUUUUCUUUGCUUUUUUCACCUUUGUAAGCCAACAGUAGAGCGUGAUCCAUUCACUUUCCUAACUAGCAUAAUUGGCUUUCUCCUCAAACUUGGUUAGUAAUAUUUCUAUAUUCUGAAGCAUAAUGACCAAGUUUUUGAUAAUUGUAACAUUUAAUUUGAGAUUUGUUAUCCUUAGCCCUUCAUUUUGCCUCGUAUCUUUUCCUCUUUCACGACCUCUGGUGGAAAAUGAGCUUUGUUUUCUUUCCUCUUUUUAGAAUGCACUUCUUCCUCGAUCUUAGCCUCGUCCUCUUCCUUUUUGGCUUCUUCUAUUGUCAAACCUUCCUUCACCCUCGUUCAAAGUGAGCUUUGUUUGAAAAAGCUUGCUCUAAUGGCUCUUUUCACCUUCUUCUUUAGUCUUUCCUCGUGGACAUAAAAAGAUCCCACGAGUUGAUCGAUACUCAUACUAUCUAGAUCUUUAAAUUCCUCAAUGACUACAACUAUGUAGUCAAAUUUUGAAUCUGAAGACCUAAGCAUCUUCUCAAUUACUCGAGCGCCGUUCAACUUUUCUCCAUUCCUCUUUAAUUGAUUCACAAUGGCCAAUACUCUAGAGAAGUAAUAAGAAAUUAAUUCCGAUUCUUUCAUAUGUAAAGCUUCAAACUCACUUUGAAGUGUUUGGAGUCAAACCUUUUUCACCUUCUCAACUCCUUUGUGGAAGUUUUGCAAGAUUUCUCAUGCUUCCUUACUCACAAUAGCACAAGCUACUUUCUCGAACAUGCCUUCAUCUAAGGCUUGAUAUAUGAGGGUAAGCACCUUCUUGUCCUACUUCCUUACAUCCUUCAAACUAACCCUUUCUGCUUGGGAUAGAGCGACCUCGUCAUGUGGUGUCGUGUAGCCUUUACCUACAAUCUCUCAUGCAUCUUGUGACAUGAGCAACGCCUUCAUCCUUAUACUCCAAUGUCGUAAUUAUCCUUUUUGAGUUAGGGAACUUUAAUAAGAAUCAUCCCACUUGUCACUUUUCACAAGAACCUUAGGGCUUUGUUACCAGUUUGGAGGAAAGAGGAGUGUACUAAUUUGGAUUCGCUAAGACUUUUAAGGAGGACAAGACUAAUAGAAAGAAGGAAGUGAACAAAAGGAAACUUGUAUUUUUCAACUUUAAAACUUGCACACUUGACUUGUUACAAAAUGGAGGACCCUACCCUUUCAUAUAGUAUUUGCAUAAAACUUUUAGUCCACAAAAUUUUCUAGAAAUUCCUUGACCACAUAUUUACAUGAGAUUUUUAGACCACACAUUUAAACAAGAUAUGUUCUUAAAAUAGUUUAGAUAGACUUUAUAAAAACCACAUAAUCUUCUUGACACAAUAAAACAUUUAUCACCACAUAUUUUACUUAGAUAUUUAUAAAGAUUUUUUCUAGAUAAUAUUUCUAGAAAUGCUAGGCAUGUUGGGCUUUUUAAUUGAUUUGGGCCUAAGAGCAAAAUCCUUAAGCUCUAUUAUUUAGUCCAAAAAUCAAGUCUACGACUCAACAGAUACUGGCAGCUUCAAAGGGUUUUUGAUUUUUUAAAUUUUUUUGUAUUGCUAAAUCAUUGGCAAAAAAGAGGGGGGCAACCACCCUUUAGAAAUUCUCAUUUCUCUGUUUUGCCUCCUAACAAGUUGGGGCGUUUGAAGGAAACCCUAGUUGAUACUCUACAAAAUCCCCGAUUUAUGCUAAGGGCUGGAAAGCCCAAUGGAUUAAAGCAUGUUUUUCACACAAAUAACCUGAUACUACCUUCCAAGUUUGGUCAGAAGAUGAUGGCUUAUCCUUAUAGAAAGUACUGAAACACAAGAUUAAAUUGGUGCAAGGGGCUGAUGAACACCACCCUUUUUCCCUCUCCUUCAAAGGAAUCUGUUGCCAAUUUUUAGUGCAAUACCAAGGAAGAAAGACCUAAGCUGCUUGUCCACUUCUAUAGCUCUGUGCGCUUGUGGAGGACACCAAAAAUUUUGGCUUUAAUUGGGCUAUACAUGGCUUAUGAGCAAACAUCACAAAUUCAUAAGCCAUUCUUUCAGCCGGCAAAACACAAUUACAUACUGAAAAAUGAUUCAAUUAACUGCUGGGAAAAAAGGCCUGUUGAUAGGUUAAUUUUGUGAAAUCAUUGGCAAAAAGAGAGGACAACCACCCUUCAGAAAUAUCCCAUCUCUCUUUUGCCCCAUUCUUCAAUUCUUCAAUUAGGUUUUUGCAAAGAAAGCUUAGAGCAUGUUUGGUAAAAGCUUAUAAAGUUCACUUGCAAGCAAAAAUAAGCAAGUGUUAAACCUGUGUUAGGCUCAGAUCUAACAAUACAAGCAUAGAGAACGAGACACCACCUUGGCCGCAAAAGCCCAGUUGCAUAUGCAAGGAAAAGAGAACGCCGUCAAUCUCCCUCCUUGCAAAGCCAUCAAGUUUUGCCCUGCCAAGAUACAGGUCUCAUUUCCCCAUGCCCGACCCAACUCAAAAGAAAAUAAUCCUCAUAGCCAACAAACAGUAAUUAAAUUAAAGUCAAUGACCGCUAGUGAAAUUUACUCUUUCUCCAAUUAUGUACACACACAGAGUAACGCACAGAAAACAGGUAUACAUACUUGAUGCGUAAAAGGGCUGCUGAUUUUUUGUGAAUGGUGAAAUCAUUGGCAAAAAGAGAUGGUCAACCACACUUCAGAAUUUUCCAUCUGUGUUUCGCCUCUUUCUCAGUUGGGACUUUUGAAGGAAACCGUAGUUGCUGCUCAACAAAGACCCCAAUUUAUGCUGAGGGCAGGCAAGCCCAUCAGGUUUAAAGCAUGUUUUUACACAAAUAAACCUGAUACUACCUUCCAAGUUUGGUGGUGAUUAAGUUGUAUAGAAAUCACUGCAACACAAGAUUAAUUGGUGGCAAGAGGGUGAUGAACUCGUCUCCCUUCAUCCCUCUCCUUCACGGUAAAUUGUUGCCGAUUUUUAGUGCAAUACCCAGGAAGUAAACCUUUAGCCUCUCGUUCCCUUCUAUAGCUCUAUGCACAAGAAGAUUUGGCUUUUAAUUGGGCUAUACAUGGCUUAUGAGCGAAUACCACAACAUUACUUUUACUUUUAAGCCAUUCUUUCUGCCGGAAAACACAGUCACAUACUGAGAAAUGAUUCGGUUGACAACUGCUGUCAAAGGUUAAAUUUGUGAAAUCAUUGGCCAAAAGAGAGAGCAACCACCCUUUAGAAAUACCCCAUCUCUCUCUUGCAUCAAUCUUGAGUUAGAAUUUUGCAAGACUUGGAGAAUGUUUAGGAAAGCUUAUAAAGUUCACUUAUAAGUGUUAGGCUCAGAUCUGAAAAUACUAGCACACCAUGGCUGCAAAAGCCCAGUUGCAAAUGCAAGAGAAAAGGAGAACGCAAACAAUCUCCCUAAUGAGAUAGUAAAAGCCGUCCAAUGAAUAGAAUCUUCUGCCAUUUUUAUUUACCAAAAUCCAGAUUUAAAAUAAAAUUUAGAAAAUAUCUUGUUAUUUUAUAUUUUAUUUAUUAACAUAUCUUUAUCUGGUAUCUUAUAUUCAUCUUCUACAGUGUUAUCAUUUAAUCUUUUAUAGUUUAUAACAAUUUUUGCUUUUCUUCUUUUUAUUUCACUAUGAUUCCUAACCAUAAAGGCUGAUGAUCUGUGCUAACUACUAGACAGUUUUAUUACUUUUAAAUCUAAUAAUUCUUUAAUCUGUACGUUAAAAUCUUCUAUAUCUUGAUUCGUAUGUUUUAUUUCUACUGUUCUAGUUUUUAUAUUUUCAUUUAUUAUUUCUAAUUUAGUUUUUAUUUUAUUUUUAUCCCAAUGUUUUAUAGGGUCUUCUCCUAUUAUUUGAAUUUUUUUAGCUAAUUUUAAAAUUUUGUCUAUACUAUUUAUUUUAGAAGAUGUUUUGAAAUCUGUUUUUAAAGUUUGUAAAGAUAAAUUAUCUAAAAAUUCUAAAUUUUCUUCAAGUUCUGGGUCCGAUUCUGGUUGUAAGGUUCCACCACGCUUAGCUCACAACUCUGAUAAUUCUAUAGUAUUAAUAAUAGAAAUGUCUUUUCCAGAAAUUAUGACAUCAGUAGUAAUUGUUAAACUUCCAUUUCUACUUAACAAGAAUUUUAUACCUAUAACAAAUUUAUCUUUUAUCAAUACGCUAACUAAUAUAGUCGUUAAACUAUACUAUUUUUCUUAGAAUUUAAUCUUAUAAUCAUCAAAAAGUUUUUCUUUGAAUCCCAUUUUACUACCAUCCAUUGUACUUCCUCUUCUUUCAUAUUCUAAUUUCUGUUUGCAAUCUUCUGGCACUAAAUUUUUUCUUAUUAUAUUAAAUGUACAACCUAUGUCUAUUAAUGCUAUCAAAUUUAAAUUUAUCAUUUUGUUUAUCUAUAUUUCUAUAGGUAUUCUGAUACUUUUUGUCGUCUUUACUUUAGAUAUUUGACAAAUUAUUUCUUCUUAAUUUUCUAUUUCCAAAUAAUUAUUUUCUGUGUAAUUAUCUAUAGACUGUUUUCCUUUUGUUUCUAGAUUUCUGAUCAUAUAUUGUGUUUCUCCUAAUGUUUUGUGGAUUUUAUCUAUUCUAUUAUUUGUAUCUAUUAUUUUAUUUUCUAAUCUUUCUAUACUUUCACUAUAGUCUUUAUUUUUUUUAUUAUUUAUUUCUUGUUUAAUCCCGAAACAAUUAUUGCAUUGAAUUUCUAGACAAAUCUUACACUGAUUUUUAUUUUUAUGUCCCGGGUAUAUUUUACAUAUUUUACAUUUAUCCAUCAUUAAUCUUUGUCCUCUAAUCCAUUCAUGGAUACAUUCUUGCUCUACGUUCAUCAUCUUUAUAUCUAAAAAUGAAAAAUCUAAUUCUUCUAGGCUAUCAUAACUUUCUUCUAGGCUAUCAUAACUGUCUUCAGAAUUACUUAUUAUUUCUAAAUUAUCUAACUUUUUAUCUGUGUAAAUACUAUAUAUUGAGCUACAAGAUUCGUUAUCAGAUAAUUCUAUUAUAUUACGUUGUAUUUCUUUAAUUAUCAUAGAUUUAGCUGUACUUUCUUAUUUUUAUAUUUAUUUGGGCAUUUGUUAACAAAAUGUCUAGAGUCUCCACAAAUAUAACAUCUACAGUCUUUUCUUUUUUAGUUUUUGGUUUUCUAACAUAUCUAUUAAAAUUUGGUUUUUUAUUUUUAUAAUAUGUCUUACUCGAUCUAAUAUUAUUUUUCUUCUUAUUUUGAUAUUGCUUUUUAUAUUUUUGUUUUUUUAUCUUUUUUAUACAAUCUUUCUUUCUUCUUCUAUAAUCAUAUGUCUGUGGUAUAUAUAAAUCUAAACAAAAAGAAUAAUUUAAUUUCUUUAUUUGCUUUCUAGCUACUUCUUCUACACAAUAUUCUUUUAAUUUAUCAGUUAUAAAUUUUAUUGUGGCACUAAUAGUUAUUUUCCUUGUUGGGUUUGACUCUACAUCUUUUUUAAUUUUAUCAUUCCAUGGUGAUGGUAUCUUUCUAUAUAAUCUUUAAAGUAUAGGGUAAUCUAAUGAUAAUCUUGUUGCGCUUGCUAAUCUUUCAAAGUCUAAUAAAAAUGGUUGUAUGCAUUUCAUAUUACAAAUACUUAAUUUUCCUAAUCCUUUUAAAGCUUUAUUUUGUUUAUAAGUGUUAUCUCUACUGGGAUCAAAACCUAUAAUUAAUUCUCUAAUAAAGCUUGUAAAAUUUCUAGGAUUAUCUCCUCCAGCCAUUCUUAAUCUAAUUUCAUCUAGUUUUUUGUCUUUUUGCUGUAACGUAUAUAUCUAAAGCAAUCUUUUCUAAAUAAGUUUCUAAGUAAACCCACAUUUCUUCUACAAUCAUUUGUACAUGUACACUAUUAUAUGCUCUAAUUAUAGAAUUUUCCCAUUUAGUUAUAGAACUAGGUCUGUCUUGUGGUUUACAAUUAUUUAACUCUAGAUUAAUCCUCUAUCGAUUGCUAAUGGUAAACUACAUCCUUCUUCCAUUUGUCCUUUUUCUAAGCUUUUAUACUUUUUAUCAGUACAUUCGAAAUAUCUUGCAGGGGCAUGGGUUCUUUUCUUUUUCCAAAUUUUUGAUAUGUUUCCAUUUAGCUCUUGCUAGAUUUUUCCAUCUUAUUUUCAUGUGUACAUGAAACAUAUCUUUUUCCAUAAUGCUGAUUUAUUAAAGAUUUGCUAAAUAAAUUUCCUUUUUUAUAUAUGUCUAAAGCUUUUACUAAUUUUAGUUUAUUCUAUCUAAACAUUUCUAUUUGUUCUUCUAUAUCUAUCAGAGAUUCUAGUCUUGUUUCGAAUUCUAUUUUUCUACUUAAUGUUCUUAAUAGAGGAUUACCUACUAAUUUACUACUACUAACUACGAUGUGUUUUCCUUUGUCCAUUAUGUAUAGAUCCAAUAAAUUUUUUUUUAAAUCUACUAGGUUCUUUAGUUUUACUAAAUCCAAAUUUUCUAUUUUAUUUAUUAUAUUAUCUAAAUCUUGUCUAUUAUCUGUUGACUUUUUUUCUAAUGCUUUAACUAUGCUUUCCAAUUUUUCUAAGUUAAAGAACUAAAUUGUGUUUCUCCUAUAUUAUUAGAUUUUCUUUUUAGUAUUUUAAUUUUUAAUAUAUUCUAGAUUAGUUUCUAAAAUUUUUAUAUUUUCUAAUAAAGUUUCUACUCUUUUAUUUGAAUUGUUCAUUUCUAAAUUUUCUACUAAAUUUACAAGUCUACAACACUAUUUAACUAUUUAUCUUCACUAUGUAAAGUAUGUCUAAACUUAUUAUCAAAAUUACAGAUUAGAGAAGCUGCUUCUAAGCUAAAUUUUUUUUAUAGUUUCCUAAAAUUUCUAAAUUUAAAUACUCAAUUCUUUUCAUAAACUAUAAAAUUUAUGACUGUUCUAGGCUCUGAUACCAAUUCUUUGUACAAGAAAGACUUUGAAGUAAAAUGACAACUAAGAAAAAGAAAAUCUAGUAAGAAAAUGACAAGAAAAGAAAAGUCUUUAGAAAAACUAUAAAUUUAAACACGUUUUGAAAGUCUUUGUAAUAAAUUCUUUGAAAGAAAGUCAUGUAGUCUUUUUUUUUUUUUUUAAUCUUGUAGCAAAAGGUCUUUGUCAAAGAAAGAAAAAGUCUUUCAAAAAUUUUAAUACAUUUGAAAAGUUUGAAAAUUUUUUUUACACCAAUUUAUAUUAUUUUUGUAUUUCUAACUAGUUCUACUAGAAUUUUUUAUUAUUAUUUUCUCUUAUAAUCUUUGCUCGUUGUUUUCUUACUUUACAAUCUUUAGGAUCUUUUAUCAAGAAACUCCGACACUAAGAGAUAAAGAGUUCAAUGAUUUGCUUCUUGAUUUGUAAAGAGGAGUUGCCUCUAUUUAUAUCUAGAAUGGUUAAAUAUUGCUUCCUAAGACAACUAAUCUUCCUAUUUCUCUGUUUUCUAAACAAAUAUUAAUAUAUUCGUUAAAACUUUCUAAUGAACAAGUAAAGCAGUGUAAUCUAAAGGCAUAAAAUAUUAGAACUAUAAAAUGAUAUGUUUGUAAUAGCCUUUGAGUACUUUACCGUUUAGCAAAUUAAUUUUUUCUGGCCAUUUUUUUUUAACUCUUUCUUAGCUUUUUUCUUAACUUUUUAAAGAAGGUUUAAGACUGUAGCCAAAAAGAUUUUCAUCAUAUUUAAAAUACUUUAACAAACUCCCACAAUUGAGACACAAAUUAGCCAACUUAACUCAGAGAAUUAACUUCAUCUAUUGGCCAUGGAAUCCAGAAUAAAGUGGCUAAGAGCGUUAAAAUUAUAUUUUUGAAAUAGAAAUAAAAUAUUAUUUGUAAAUAAAUUAACUAAAAUAACUAAACCCGAAAAAUAACUAAAAUAAAGAAAAAUUAUAAACAAGAGAAUAUAUGGGGAAAAAAAAAAACUUACUUUAAGUUUGAAGUUUUUGAAUUUACAAGAAUGUCUUUGAAUUUACAAACAUAUAUUAAUAUGAAAAUUAGUUGUUGUAGGAAACUAUAUUUUAUUCGCUUUAAAUAUAAAUAGAGGUGACACCGCUUUACAAAUCAAGAAAUAAAUCGCUAAACUCUCUAUCUCUCAAUGUCGGAGUUUUUUGAUAAAAUAUCCUAAAAAUUAUAAAGAAAAGCAAAAACGAACAAAAAUUAUAAGAAAAAAUAAUAAAAGAAAUUCUAGUAGGACUACUUAGACAUAUUUACCAAUUGAACUUUAGUAGCAAAGAUAAUAUAAAUUUGUGUAAAAAAAAAAAUUUCAAACUUUUCAAACAUAUUAAAAUUUUUUAUAGAAUUUUUCUUUUUUUGACAAAGACCUUUUGUUAUAAGAUUUUUUUUAAAAGGCUUCAAGACUUUUUCUUGCAAAGAAUUUAUUACAAAGACUUUCAAAACAUAUUUAAAUUUCUUAAAGCUUUUCUUUUCUUAGUUGUCAUUUUCUUACUAAACUUUCCUUUUCUUAGUUGUCAAUGACAAAUAAGAAAAGGAAAGUCUACAAAGACUUUGUAGUAAAAUGACAACUAAAAGAAUAAAUAAAUAAAUAAAUAUAUAUAUAUAUAUAUAUAUAUAAAGUAUUGAUAUGCAAUUAAUUGUAGUAAAAAUAAGUAUAAGACUUUUUCUUAUUCUUACUACAAUUAAUUGCAUACCAAGACCUUUUAUUAAUUGUAUUAAUUGCCACCGUUGCUUCUUCCUCGCUUUAACUAAUAUACAUUUUGUACAUGGGACUUGAUUGCACAUUGAAAAUUGAUUAAAAUGCAGUUAUUAUUAAUACCUUAAUUUGUAUUAAUGCUAUCAGUUAUUAUAAAUAUAACAAAUACUCGACAAGAGUGAAAAUCAUUCCAUGCUAGAAUAUUUACAAAUAAUUUUUUCCCGACAUUUUCCUUAUCUUUGGUGAACUGUUUUUACACAAAAAUUCGAUUGUUCAUAGCUAAAGGAACCCACCCAAUUUUGAGCUUAACAAAAUGGGGGAGGCUCAGAUCUGCAAUAUCUCAGGCAUAGAGAUUCCUACCCACAAUGACUGCAAACCAGUUGCAAAACCUGCCGUCUGGAUUCGCCCAGCCAAGAUAUGAAUUGGAUUUUCUCCAUGCCCGACCCAAGUCCAGAAACUUAUCAUCACAGCCUACCUAAAGGAAUGGAAGGCUAAAACAGGAUUAUAGGGGUUUCGGUCAAAGUUCAUGUUUGGCUAAGCUUAUAAUCCUGUUUGGCCCGCAUUAAAAUCUGAUUUUAACAUAUAUCAAACAAUCAAUAUUAACCACAUCUUCGUCCACAUCUUCCAUUGUCCACGACUAUUCAAUCACACAUUUCAAAAAUUCUUAUCAUAAUCUAUUAAAAAAAUCUAAUUUUAAUCCCCACCAAAUUCCCUCUAAACUUAAAUAUUACUUCCACUUUCACAUACUGAGAAAUGACUCAGUUAAUAACUGCUGGCAAAAAGGGACUGUUGAUAUGUCAAUUUUGUGAAAUCAUUAGCAAAAAGAGAGGGCAACUACCCUUUAGAAAUAUACCAUCUCUCUUUUGCCUCAUUCCUGAGUUGGGAUUUUUGCAAGGAAGAGUUAGAUCGUGUUCGAUAAAGCUUUUAAAUUUCACUUACAAGUAAAAUAAGCAAGAGUUGAACCUGUGCCAGGCUCAGAUCUGAGAAUACAAGAAGCAUAGAGGGUGAGACACCGCCAUGGCUGCAAAAGCCCUGUUGAAUAUGCAAGAGAAAGAGAGAACGCCGUCUAUCUCCCUCCUCACAAAGCCAUCAUGGUUUGCCCCGCCAAGAUACGGGUCCCAUUUUCCCAUGCCCGACCCAACUCGAAGUAAAUUAUCUUCACAGCCUACACAACAUUUGCUUGGGGCAUGCUUGAAAGUUUUGGAUACCGAUUAAUAAGGGUUAUAUGCAGAAAACAGAUAUAGAUAAAGAUAUAGAUCCUGGUAGCUUCGAAGGGCUGUUGAUUUUUGUGGAUGAUGAAAUCAUUGGCAAAAAAGAGAGGGGCAACCACCCUUAAGGAAUUCCCAUCCCUCGGAUUCACCUCAGUUGGGAUUUUUUGAAAGGUUUUCGAAAACAUUAUUGCUGCUCACCAAAUACCCAAAUUUAUGCCGAGUGAAAGCAAAAAGGCCAUUGGGACAUUUC